rnacentral:rRNA from 1 species
UACGUAGGGCGCAAGCGUUGUCCGGAAUUAUUGGGCGUAAAGAGCUUGUAGGCGGUUUGUCGCGUCUGCCGUGAAAGUCCGGGGCUCAACUCCGGAUCUGCGGUGGGUACGGGCAGACUAGAGUGAUGUAGGGGAGACUGGAAUUCCUGGUGUAGCGGUGAAAUGCGCAGAUAUCAGGAGGAACACCGGUGGCGAAGGCGGGUCUCUGGGCCGAUACUGACGCUGAGGAGCGAAAGCGUGGGGAGCGAACAGG